UACGUAGGGGGCUAGCGUUGUCCGGAAUCAUUGGGCGUAAAGCGCGCGUAGGCGGCCCGGUAAGUCCGCUGUAAAAGUCCAGGGCUCAACCCUGGAAAGCCGGUGGAUACUGUCGGGCUAGAGUCCGGAAGAGGCGAGUGGAAUUCCUGGUGUAGCGGUGGAAUGCGCAGAUAUCGUAAGGAAGACCAGUGGCGAAGGCGGGUCUCUGGACAGUCCUGACGCUGAGGCACGAAGGUCAGGGGAGCAAACGGG
rnacentral:rRNA from 1 species